rnacentral:rRNA from 1 species
CGUGUAGGCGGUUUGGCAAGUCAGAUGUGAAAGCCCUGGGCUCAACCCGGGAAGUGCAUUUGAAACUGCCAUACUUGAGUAUGGGAGAGGAGAGUGGAAUUCCCAGUGUAGAGGUGAAAUUCGUAGAUAUUGGGAGGAACACCCGUGGCGAAGGCGACUCUCUGGACCAAUACUGACGCUGAGACGCGAAAGCGUGGGGAGCAAACAGGAUUAGAUACCCUGGUAGUCC